GCAGGCGCUCAAGGUCCUGAGAACCGCCGAGUUCGCGCCGUUCGUUGUUUUCAUCGCCGCGCCCACCAUCACUCCGGGUCUGAACGAGGAUGAGUCUCUCCAGCGCCUGCAGAAGGAGUCCGAUAUCCUACAGAGAACAUACGCACACUACUUCGAUCUCACAAUUAUCAACAAUGAAAUUGAUGAGACAAUCAGACAUCUGGAGGAAGCCGUUGAGCUCGUGUGCACAGCCCCGCAGUGGGUCCCGGUCUCCUGGGUCUAUUAGGCCUCUCCCCAGCUAGCUACCUGAUGCCUACCUGGGAGCCACCUCAUCCGUGGAAAAGCCUCUUUGUUAUCGGCCUUGUGUCAGCAGGUCAUGGUCCCUAGAGACUACCUAGUUGUAGUGUGACCUCCAUUUAUAAUUAUUGUCAUGUCUGAAUAGAUAGGAGGAGAAAAACAAUUACACACUAAUUUAAAGAGACAGUAUCUUUUUUAAUCAGUUCUCCUAAACUUUAAUAAAAUGUAUCUUUAAAUGUAUGUAUUAUUCAAUCCUUUGGAAUGUUAUAUUUUUGGAAAUCAUAGCUUUUUAUUUCCAAGGCCCCUAAAAACUGCACAAAAUAGAUGCUGCUUUCUAUAAUCUAUUUUAAUAAUAAACAAUGAUUCUGUUACCUUGACUGGGGGUGGAACACUACAUUCUUUUUAGAGUCUGAUUUUAUGGAUUGGAAUAGCUUUCUUUCCUUUAUUUAUUUGAAAUAAUCAGUCUAGUGAUUACAAAACAGUCAUAAAUUUUUAAAGGCCUUUUUUCUUUUUUUUUUUAGACUAGUUUUUUUUUUUUUAAGUCCUUUAUGUAACAUCCAGAUAAUGUGAUACUGUCUCUUUGAAGCACCCUGUAAACCUUUUAGAGAUUUGAAGUUGGGUCUUGACUCUUAAUGCAUGUGGACAGUCGCGAGCGUUUAUGCUGUCGGUGUGUCUGUGUUGGACAAAACAAUCUGUAAUCUACAGCAAAGUACAUUCCGUUCACGGGGCACACCCAGGGGAAUAAGAAUAAAAUGCUAUUAUGGCUAAGUUGUAAACCUAUGCACAUCCCUUGCAUUUCGGGCAACUUUAUAAAAAAAAACUGAUUUUUAUUAAUAAUAAUCAUAUAGUGAAAUGUGUUUGUAAUUUUGUCUCAAUUUAAUUUGUUGUAAGGUGGGAGGGGGAGUUGCUGGUUUCACCAUUUCAGAUCUGUGUUGUCUGAGAGUAUUAACGUUUUAAUUAAGCAAAGAAAUGAGGAUUUUUAAUAUGUAUGUAAUUGUUUUAAAGCACCCAUUUUAAGAGAAUAUACUGUGCAAUGAAGAAACCAGUUUAGGCAUUUGCUAUAAACUGAAUUAUUCCAAAAGAAUAAUCUAUAACAGCCCUGUAAAUUCCUUUAAAAUGAUAACUAACAGGACAGUUUGACCAAUUUUUUUUUUAAAUAUACUUCCUUUUAUGUGUUCAAUAAUUAAA